rnacentral:rRNA from 1 species
AGUGAACGCUGGCGGUAGGCCUAACACAUGCAAGUCGAACGGCAGCACAGUAAGAGCUUUCUCUUACGGGUGACGAGUGGCGGACGGGUGAGGAAUACAUCGGAAUCUACUUUUUCGUGGGGGAUAACGUAGGGAAACUUACGCUAAUACCGCAUACGACCUACGGGUGAAAGCAGGGGAUCUUCGGACCUUGCGCGAUUGAAUGAGCCGAUGUCGGAUUAGCUAGUUGGCGGGGUAAAGGCCCAUCAAGGCGACGAUCCGUAGCUGGUCUGAGAGCAUGAUCAGCCACUCUGGAACUGAGACACGGUUCAGCCUCCUACGGGAGGCAGCAGUUGUGAAUAUUAGACAAUGGGCGCAAACCUGAUGCAGCCAUACCGCGUGGGUGAAGAAGGCCUUCGAGUUGUAAAGCCCUUUUGUUGGGUAAGAAGAGCAUCAGGUUAAUACCCCGCUGUUCUGACGGUACCCAAAGAAUAAGCCCCGGCUAACUUCGUG